rnacentral:rRNA from 1 species
AUUGAACGCUGGCGGCAGGCCUAACACAUGCAAGUCGAACGAGUGGCGGACGGGUGAGUAAUGUCUGGGAAACUGCCUUAUGGAGGGGGAUAACUACUGGAAACGGUAGCUAAUACCGCAUACCAUCGGAUGUGCCCAGAUGGGAUUAGCUGGUAGGUGGGGUAAAGGCUCACCUAGGCGACGAUCCCUAGCUGGUCUGAGAGGAUGACCGGCCAAACUGGGAUGUGGUAACGGCCCAGACUCCUACGGGAGGCAGCGGUGGGGAAUAUUGCACAAUGGGCGCAAGCCUGAUGCAGCCAUGCCGCGUGUAUGAAGAAGGCCUUCGGGUUGUAAAGUACUUUCAGCGGGGAGGCGUUACCAGCAGAAGAAGCACCGGCUAACUCCGUGCCAGCAGCCGCGGUAAUAC